rnacentral:rRNA from 1 species
UGGGGAAUAUUGCACAAUGGGCGAAAGCCUGAUGCAGCGACGCCGCGUGAGGGAUGACGGCCUUCGGGUUGUAAACCUCUUUCAGCAGGGAAGAAGCGAAAGUGACGGUACCUGCAGAAGAAGCGCCGGCUAACUACGUGCCAGCAGCCGCGGUAAUACGUAGGGCGCAAGCGUUGUCCGGAAUUAUUGGGCGUAAAGAGCUCGUAGGCGGUUAGUCGCGUCUGCUGUGAAAACUCGAGGCUCAACCUCGGGCUUGCAGUGGGUACGGGCUGACUAGAGUGCGGUAGGGGUGACUGGAAUUCCUGGUGUAGGGGUGGAAUGCGCAGAUAUCAGGAGGAACACCGAUGGCGAAGGCAGGUCACUGGGCCGCAACUGACGCUGAGGAGCGAAAGCAUGGGGAGCGAACAGGAUUAGAUACCCUGGUAGUCCAUGCCGUAAACGUUGGGCACUAGGUGUGGGGUCCAUUCCACGGAUUCCGUGCCGCAGCAAACGCAUUAAGUGCCCCGCCUGGGGAGUACGGCCGCAAGGCUAAAACUUAAAGGAAUUGACGGGGUCAUAGCUGUUUCCU